AUUGAACGCUGGCGGCAGGCCUAACACAUGCAAGUCGAGCGAGUGGCGGACGGGUGAGUAAUGUAUGGGGAACUGCCCGAUGGAGGGGGAUAACUACUGGAAACGGUAGCUAAUACCGCAUACCAUCAGAUGUACCCAGAUGGGAUUAGCUUGUUGGUGGGGUAACGGCUCACCAAGGCGACGAUCCCUAGCUGGUCUGAGAGGAUGACCAGCCACACUGGAACUGAGACACGGUCCAGACUCCGACGGGAGGCAGCAGUGGGGAAUAUUGCACAAUGGGCGCAAGCCUGAUGCAGCCAUGCCGCGUGUAUGAAGAAGGCCUUAGGGUUGUAAAGUACUUUCAGCGGGGAGGCGUUACCCGCAGAAGAAGCACCGGCUAACUCCGUGCCAGCAGCCGCGGUAAUAC
rnacentral:rRNA from 1 species